rnacentral:rRNA from 1 species
GGUUAAGCGACUAAGCGUACACGGUGGAUGCCCUGGCAGUCAGAGGCGAUGAAGGACGUGCUAAUCUGCGAUAAGCGUCGGUAAGGUGAUAUGAACCGUUAUAACCGGCGAUUUCCGAAUGGGGAAACCCAGUGUGAUUCGUCACACUAUCAUUAACUGAAUCCAUAGGUUAAUGAGGCGAACCGGGGGAACUGAAACAUCUAAGUACCCCGAGGAAAAGAAAUCAACCGAGAUUCCCCCAGUAGCGGCGAGCGAACGGGGAGCAGCCCAGAGCCUGAAUCAGUGUGUGUGUUAGUGGAAGCGUCUGGAAAGGCGCGCGAUACAGGGUGACAGCCCCGUACACAAAAAUGCACAUACUGUGAGCUCGAUGAGUAGGGCGGGACACGUGGUAUCCUGUCUGAAUAUGGGGGGACCAUCCUCCAAGGCUAAAUACUCCUGACUGACCGAUAGUGAACCAGUACCGUGAGGGAAAGGCGAAAAGAACCCCGGCGAGGGGAGUGAAAAAGAACCUGAAACCGUGUACGUACAAGCAGUGGGAGCACAGAGCAAUCUGUGUGACUGCGUACCUUUUGUAUAAUGGGUCAGCGACUUAUAUUCUGUAGCAAGGUUAACCGAAUAGGGGAGCCGAAGGGAAACCGAGUCUUAACUGGGCGUUAAGUUGCAGGGUAUAGACCCGAAACCCGGUGAUCUAGCCAUGGGCAGGUUGAAGGUUGGGUAACACUAACUGGAGGACCGAACCGACUAAUGUUGAAAAAUUAGCGGAUGACUUGUGGCUGGGGGUGAAAGGCCAAUCAAACCGGGAGAUAGCUGGUUCUCCCCGAAAGCUAUUUAGGUAGCGCCUCGUGAAUUCAUCUCCGGGGGUAGAGCACUGUUUCGGCAAGGGGGUCAUCCCGACUUACCAACCCGAUGCAAACUGCGAAUACCGGAGAAUGUUAUCACGGGAGACACACGGCGGGUGCUAACGUCCGUCGUGAAGAGGGAAACAACCCAGACCGCCAGCUAAGGUCCCAAAGUCAUGGUUAAGUGGGAAACGAUGUGGGAAGGCCCAGACAGCCAGGAUGUUGGCUUAGAAGCAGCCAUCAUUUAAAGAAAGCGUAAUAGCUCACUGGUCGAGUCGGCCUGCGCGGAAGAUGUAACGGGGCUAAACCAUGCACCGAAGCUGCGGCAGCGACGCUGAUGCGUUGUUGGGUAGGGGAGCGUUCUGUAAGCCUGUGAAGGUGUGCUGUGAGGCAUGCUGGAGGUAUCAGAAGUGCGAAUGCUGACAUAAGUAACGAUAAAGCGGGUGAAAAGCCCGCUCGCCGGAAGACCAAGGGUUCCUGUCCAACGUUAAUCGGGGCAGGGUGAGUCGACCCCUAAGGCGAGGCCGAAAGGCGUAGUCGAUGGGAAACAGGUUAAUAUUCCUGUACUUGGUGUUACUGCGAAGGGGGGACGGAGAAGGCUAUGUUGGCCGGGCGACGGUUGUCCCGGUUUAAGCGUGUAGGCUGGUUUUCCAGGCAAAUCCGGAAAAUCAAGGCUGAGGCGUGAUGACGAGGCACUACGGUGCUGAAGCAACAAAUGCCCUGCUUCCAGGAAAAGCCUCUAAGCAUCAGGUAACAUCAAAUCGUACCCCAAACCGACACAGGUGGUCAGGUAGAGAAUACCAAGGCGCUUGAGAGAACUCGGGUGAAGGAACUAGGCAAAAUGGUGCCGUAACUUCGGGAGAAGGCACGCUGAUAUGUAGGUGAAGUCGACUCGCGGAUGGAGCUGAAAUCAGUCGAAGAUACCAGCUGGCUGCAACUGUUUAUUAAAAACACAGCACUGUGCAAACACGAAAGUGGACGUAUACGGUGUGACGCCUGCCCGGUGCCGGAAGGUUAAUUGAUGGGGUCAGCGCAAGCGAAGCUCUUGAUCGAAGCCCCGGUAAACGGCGGCCGUAACUAUAACGGUCCUAAGGUAGCGAAAUUCCUUGUCGGGUAAGUUCCGACCUGCACGAAUGGCGUAAUGAUGGCCAGGCUGUCUCCACCCGAGACUCAGUGAAAUUGAACUCGCUGUGAAGAUGCAGUGUACCCGCGGCAAGACGGAAAGACCCCGUGAACCUUUACUAUAGCUUGACACUGAACAUUGAGCCUUGAUGUGUAGGAUAGGUGGGAGGCUUAGAAGUGUGGACGCCAGUCUGCAUGGAGCCGACCUUGAAAUACCACCCUUUAAUGUUUGAUGUUCUAACGUUGACCCGUAAUCCGGGUUGCGGACAGUGUCUGGUGGGUAGUUUGACUGGGGCGGUCUCCUCCUAAAGAGUAACGGAGGAGCACGAAGGUUGGCUAAUCCUGGUCGGACAUCAGGAGGUUAGUGCAAUGGCAUAAGCCAGCUUGACUGCGAGCGUGACGGCGCGAGCAGGUGCGAAAGCAGGUCAUAGUGAUCCGGUGGUUCUGAAUGGAAGGGCCAUCGCUCAACGGAUAAAAGGUACUCCGGGGAUAACAGGCUGAUACCGCCCAAGAGUUCAUAUCGACGGCGGUGUUUGGCACCUCGAUGUCGGCUCAUCACAUCCUGGGGCUGAAGUAGGUCCCAAGGGUAUGGCUGUUCGCCAUUUAAAGUGGUACGCGAGCUGGGUUUAGAACGUCGUGAGACAGUUCGGUCCCUAUCUGCCGUGGGCGCUGGAGAAUUGAGGGGGGCUGCUCCUAGUACGAGAGGACCGGAGUGGACGCAUCACUGGUGUUCGGGUUGUCAUGCCAAUGGCACUGCCCGGUAGCUAAAUGCGGAAGAGAUAAGUGCUGAAAGCAUCUAAGCACGAAACUUGCCCCGAGAUGAGUUCUCCCUGACUCCUUGAGAGUCCUGAAGGAACGUUGAAGACGACGACGUUGAUAGGCCGGGUGUGUAAGCGCAGCGAUGCGUUGAGCUAACCGGUACUAAUGAACCGUGAGGCUUAACCUU